rnacentral:rRNA from 1 species
CCUACGGGAGACAGCAGUGGGGAAUAUUGCACAAUGGGGGAAACCCUGAUGCAGCGACGCCGCGUGAGUGAAGAAGUAAUUCGUUAUGUAAAGCUCUAUCAGCAGGGAAGAAAAUGACGGUACCUGAGUAAGAAGCCCCGGCUAACUACGUGCCAGCAGCCGCGGUAAUACGUAGGGGGCAAGCGUUAUCCGGAUUUACUGGGUGUAAAGGGAGCGUAGACGGCAGUGCAAGUCUGGAGUGAAAGGCGGGGGCUCAACCCCCGGACUGCUCUGGAAACUGUACGGCUGGAGUGCAGGAGAGGUAAGUGGAAUUCCUAGUGUAGCGGUGAAAUGCGGAGAUAUUAGGAGGAACACCAGUGGCGAAGGCGGCUUACUGGACUGUAACUGACGUUGAGGCUCGAAAGCGUGGGGAGCAAACAGGAUUAGAUACCCUGGUAGUC